ensembl:misc_RNA predicted gene, 24990
GGAUGUGAGGGGAAUUGGCUGCCACAUUUGCCCGCCCUCCCUUUAUGAGCAGGGCCGCCGUGGCUGACCUGGCUGGAGAAGCAGCUGUGUCCUCCUCAGGGCUCAGUGUGCAGCCCUCCUGGACCUGGGCUUAGUUAGAACUGGACCUUCAGGAGAGAGAAACGGGACUGUGUUUCAUGUCUAGGACACAGCGGCAGCUGUGCUCCCUGCCAGAUCCUCCAGACAAACUCUCUAAAAGUAGUGUCAGUGCCAGGACUGCUUGACCAAGCAGGUCACCUCAGCAUGUAGGGAAUGAUGACUACUUCACGGCUAACCUCUGCUGU